GAGUAGACACACAACUGUAUACAGCCAUGGACUCUUCACGAUCUUCUUUUAAUGGAAGAACUUUCAAGAAAGCAGGAAGCACCUGAUUCAAUGGGAUGGACUGGGGAUGGACCAUUAUCAUCCUUGCCACUGCACCAGCUGCGUUAUCACUGACAGCAUCAUCUGGUUCAGAUUCCCCAAAUAAUGGGUAAAGCGCACGUAAAAUAUCACCAUAGUAUUUCAAAGUUGAUUCGCCUCCAUUUUUGCA
rnacentral:misc_RNA from 1 species